UACGAAGGGGGCUAGCGUUGUUCGGAAUCACUGGGCGUAAAGCGCACGUAGGCGGAUCGUUAAGUCGGGGGUGAAAUCCCAGGGCUCAACCCUGGAACUGCCUUCGAUACUGGCGAUCUUUGAGUCCGGGAGAGGUGAGUGGAACUGCGAGUGUAGAGGUGAAAAUUCGUAGAUAUUCGCAAGAACACCAGUGGCGAAGGCGGCUCACUGGCCCGAUACUGACGCUGAGGUGCGAAAGCGUGGGGAGCAACAGGGAUUAAGAUACCUUGAGUCCCAG
rnacentral:rRNA from 1 species